CAGGACCCUGGGGUCAGGACCGGACCGGUGACGACGGCCGGGACCGAGAGAGCCAUCUGGGAAGAUCGUGGAUCCCCACCCGACUGCAGCGGGACGGGACAUCCCACGGAAUUCGUCGGCUGUGCCUCCAUCACAGAGGCUUUGGAUGAGACACGUCUUGCUGUAACCUGCAAGAAAUGCUCACUUUGUCCUGACCAGAGGAAGCAGAAUGUGGUCACUGUUCAGUUUCCAUGCUGCACAACAAACCAAACACCAACGGGAUGAUCCCUCUACAUGUGGGGAAUGGACAUUCAUCUGCUCAUUGAACUGUUGAUAUGUGUUUGUGUGAAAUGGUUGCAGUUUUCACAAUUGUAUUAGUAUAAUCACUUAGUGGUGAAUUGUCCACCGUUGUACUUCACUUGGUGAUGGGAUUUGGGCA